UAACACUGACUUAGAAAAAAAGUUUUUUGUGAUAAAAAACUUGACUAAUGUAAAUAUUCUAGUCUAAAACAGAGUUUUGAACCUCAGUGCGUUACAACGAGUAAAGGAAGGUUGGAUUUGGCUAACAAUUAUGUCAACAAAUCAAGCCCCUUUUUGUCAAGCUCCACGUGCAAAUCGCCCCUCCGCUCAUGCAAUACAUGCUUCCAGCAGGAUUCACAACCAACAACUAUGGUUUGCAUGCUCUGCCGAAGGACCCUAUCAUCAUGCGGAAUAGAUGGUUGGAGUUCGUUGCUCCCCAGUGUUGGGGAGUAUACAGACAAAGUGCACAGUUGGGUGCCAGACUAAUCCCCUGGUCAUGAAUGGAUGCCGGGACCUACCAGAACGAGAAAAGUGACCCAAGUUAUUGCCUUGAUGACACAGAUGGCUUCAUCAACAACAACAGGUAAUGUGUGAUGUGAAAAGUUGUAUUAAAAAAUACCCGUAUUGAUAAAAAAAUAGGCUAACAUUAUUUGUUGCUUAUUUUCUAUUUCUUAGAUGCAUAUAAUGUCUAGGGCGUAACCUAGCCUGGUGGAUUCAGCCUGAUCGCUGUCUUCACCAUUCUAUUUCACUUCUGAAGUGAAAUAGAAAGGUGAAUGCAGUGUUCAGGUUGUUUCCACCAUGCUAAUCAUAACCAUCAUUGAUAAUGUAAUCAGUGCUCUGUGUAUGUGUGUGUGUGUGUGCACGCCUAUGUGUGUGUGUGUGUGUGUGAUCGACCAGUAUCUCUGAUGAGGGACCAGGAGCUGAUUUACGCGGCUAUGCCCAUCAAUGGGGCUCUGGCAAGGACCUCACCUCUUGCCUGCUCACUCGAUGAGGAGAACAGAAUUAGAAACAUGUAUGGAGCCAGUUCAUGGAGACUUGCAAGAUGAUGUGAUGAAGUCCAGACUGGCAGACAAGCUUGAUACUGAUGUCUCUGAAUAGAGAGAGACCUGGCACUCGGCAUAAACAUUUUACUCAACACAA